UCUCUUCUUGUGUGCACGGUUGUGCACUCUGGCAUUUCUAAACAUAUUAUAUUGUUAUUUUUUUUGAAAAUUUUAACUAGGACACAUCACUAACAUAUUUAUAUUAAUGCUGUGUUUGGAUUUUGGAUUUCUGGACGGAAAAGAAAUGGGAAGGAUUCAAGAUCUAAACACAAACUAGAAGUUCUGAUAUAAUUUGAAGUUGGUUUCUUCUUGAAUUUCUACAGUGGCCAAUCAUUUCUAUAACUUUUAGUGCUCAGACCAAGUUUAGUGGAAUGUGUUUCAAGUUAGUGUUAAUGAAGGGUCCCCUAGGGGUCAUCCAAGCAGCUUAAGUUGCAUUCCCCAAUAAAGAGGCUCAAGGUGGAGUCUCCUUAAAUUACACCCUAUGUUAUCCGGAAUGUGGAUCGUUCCGGUAUGUGGACCGGGAACACAUGCUCUAAAAUGUGGUAUGAUAAGGGUAGACUUGUAUAUAUUAUAUCGAAGAAUUUAAGGUACUGCUAGAGUAAAUUUUUUUUAACUAUUAGAUAUCCAAUAAAAUGUAAUAUUUUCU